UACGUAGGGGGCAAGCGUUGUCCGGAAUUAUUGGGCGUAAAGCGCGCGCAGGCGGUUCAUUAAGUCUAGGGUAUAAUCCCGGAGCUCAACUCCGGGCCGCCUUGGAAACUGAUGGACUUGAGUGCAGGAGAGGAAAGCGGAAUUCCACGUGUAGCGGUGAAAUGCGUAGAGAUGUGGAGGAACACCAGUGGCGAAGGCGGCUUUCUGGCCUGUAACUGACGCUGAGGCGCGAAAGCGUGGGGAGCAAACAGG
rnacentral:rRNA from 1 species